CCGCGGCGGCGGCGGCGGCGCAUCCCGCACAUCGCGUAGCGCGCACCCCGCGCACCCCGCGCACCCAGCCCGCCCCGCCGCGCCCGCCGCCCUAGCCGCCGUCUCCUCCUCAGGCGCCUGUCGCGGCCGGUUCCGCCUAGACCAGCUUCUCGUGGACCAGCAUCGCCAGCUAAGUGAAGGCUGUGAGUCUGCAUCUCGGCCCAUCAAUCCUUCUCCUUAUUCCCAUGAUGAGUUCACCAGUGCGGUCCGGAUCAUGGAUAAGGAACAAAACAGAAUUUCACCUAUACUUUAUGGACUUCAGCUCCCUUGGUUAGAAGUGACUUGGCUCCGUCUUCAGCCAUACCUGGUUUUCCUUGGCCCCACUCAAGUUGUGGGCUUUUUGCCUCUGAGGCUUUACCUGAUAUUCAAUUAUUCUUCUGCUGAUAUUAAUGUCUUGUUUUUCAGCCAUUUUUUGCUUGCGUUCUGAUUCUUUAUAGUAGUAUAUUUGCCAUUUUUGUAAAUUUCUCAUUAUAUAUAUAUAUAUGUUGGUAAUAUUUCAUUUUGUAUAUAUAUAUGCAUGUAUGUAUGUAUGUGCAUAUAUAUAGAGCUUCCCAGGUGGCUCAGUGGUAAAGACUCUGCCCACCAAUGCAGGCGAUGUGGGUUCGCUCCCUGCGUCAGGAAGAUCCCCUGGAGGAAGAAAUGGCAACCCAUUCUAUUACUCUUGCCUAGGAAAUCCCAUGGACAGAGGAGCCGGUGGGCUACAGUCCAUGGGGUCACAAAGAGUCAGAUGCAACUUAGCAGCUAAACAGCAACAAGAAUUAGGAAAGCUUCAAAAAGGAGUUGAAGCUGGAGACAAAUCUUAAUAGAGAGAGAGGAUUGGUUUAGGUGGAGUAGAGAGCACAGUACUUUCCAGAGAAAGAGAGUAUGUUGAGUAGAGAAAGGGUGUUGAUAAGUGAAAAGCAUACUUUAACUGUUGGCCACUUAUAAUGUAGGUUCUGAUUUAGGAGAGUGAUGGAAGAAACAGGUCAGUAAGCCAGGUAGGGCUGUAUUAUAUAGAGCAGUAUAUUAUAAGGAAAAGAAUUGAAUAUAUUUGGUGUAAGAUGCCAUUGUGAGUUAAGGAAUAGAAUAAGAAUGAUAUGAUGAAAACAACUUUUUUGAAAAUAAUUGUAUCCACAGUGUACCUGGUGCUCUCUGAACUAAAGGAUUGGAGGAGCUGGUUUACAUCCUUGUGCUGGAAACCAGUAGGAGAUUGUAGGACCUGAACUGAGACAAUGGUAGUGAGAAUGAGGAUGGGAAAAGAACGUGAAACUUUUGAACAAUAAAAUCAUAGUGUGAUGGUUAAUUUUUUGCA
rnacentral:lncRNA from 1 species